rnacentral:tRNA from 1 species
UCAGUUAAAGCCAAAUUAGAGGUAUGCCACUGUUAAUGGCUAAAAUGAAGGGGUUCUUCUGACUGAU